GGUAACAGUAGUCUGAAGAAGUUAAGAUCCACUUCCCUCUGGAAAUACUGAGAAAAACUGAUUUUCAAGGCACCAACAGAUAACCUCCAAAAUGGUGCCUAUUUAAUACUCCAUCCGUUUCAAAAUGUUUGACACCGUUGACUUUUUAAGUACGUGUUUGACCAUUCGUCUUAUUAAAAAAAUUUAAGUAAUUAUUUAUUCUUUUCAUAUCAUUUGAUUCAUUGUUAAAUAUAUUUUCAUGUACACAUAGUUUUACAUAUUUCACAAAUUUGUUUGAAUAAGACGAACGGUCAAACAUGUGCUAAAAAGUCAACGAUGUCAAACAUUUUGAAACGGAGGGAGUACUUGACAAACUUGUUGCAUUUUUAUCUUUCCAAAACAGCGUGGAACUAUUGUAAUAAGUGAUGGUUUGCUUUGUGCAUCCUAGAUACAGAGGCCGGUCUAUCCAUUACCUAAAAGAACAGAUAACCUCCAAUAAGCACAAUUCAUUAAAAGGAAUAAUACGGUAACAGAACACUAGUAUCCAAAAUGAUUAUAUAUUAGUCAUCUCACCUAUCAUACCAUGUCGAACUCAGCAUCCAGGAAACACCUGUUUCUCUAGCUUCCGGGAGUGAACUUCAUGCAGAUUGGUGGCUUAACCUUAGCAAGGGAAAGCAGGGAAGAAGGGAACAUCCAUAUACCAUCUCCACAAAUAAAACCAGACGCAACCGCUGGCACUAGCAACGCAGACUCCUUGCUGUUGAUCUUGUGCCAGGCAAAGACUAUCAGGCUUCCCACACACAUGUCAAUAGCAAAAUUUGCACCAACAAGGAAUGGCACAGCCAUUGCCGUCGGCAGGGGCACAUAAUCCCUGUACUUGCGUGGCAAGAAGUCCCUCAUAAGGUUGAUGAGCACAGAAAAUGCAAAGAAGCCAGCAGACAGCUCAAGACAAUGCUUUGGUAGUGCAGAAAAGCCCUCGACGCCAAGAAUGGCCAUGUUUCGAAAUAUCAGGGCAUAUGGAGCCUUCCAGUAUCCAUCAGGGUUCCCAAUAUCAAAUGCUUUGUAGAAGAGCAAGAAAGUCAGUGGAGCGAUUAUGCAGCCCAUGGCUGUACCAAUGGCCUGCCCAACAAGCAUGGAUCUUGGUGAUGUUAAUGUCAGAUGACCAGUCUUAAAGUCGUGCAUCAAAUCAGCAGAGACUUGUACUAGCUGCUUCACUAUUCCACAACCAACAAGACCAGCAAUGACACCGUUGUCCCUCCCUCCCCAAGCUGCAAAGAUGAAGAGAGCAAUCUUGCCAUAGUUGUAGCUCAUGUUCAUGUCAGUUAGCCCAGUUCCAUAGGCAUUGGAGAAUCCCAGCACAGGAGCAAGCACAAAGGCUACAACAACAUAGUACCACUUCACCUGUUGGAACAUUAUGGGUAUCGCAAUUACCGCAACAAUGCUCAGUAAGGCAUAUCCAGCAUACGCUAGCCAGUUUGGAAUAUAGUCUUUGUUGAAGAACUCGUCACGCUGCAUAUCAGCAAUUACAAAUGUAUCCUCAUCUGUCGCUGCAAUUCACUCAGCUUCAGCUACCUUGGUGAUAUAAGAGGGAAGAAAACGUGGAAAUAGUUAAUUUCGCAGAGCACGUUUACCUUUCUUAGCAUGUCUACGAUUGGAUCGUUCAUGCAGGCUCUUAGCAGUGAUACCUGUUACUUUUAUGAAGUGGUAAAGGCCAUCCCCCAUGAUCAAAGCUACACACAUGAAGGACUGAGAAGGAGAAAAUUAGAGAUACUGUACCAUAUAAAAUUAUGGAUUCACAUCAGACUAUUUUGAGAAAAAGGUAAAUUGUAUGCCUGACCUUGUAACCAAACAAGCUUGUCAUGCUGCUUUCAGGAACAUUUCCAGGAUACCACUUACCCUUUUGUAUGCUGAUCAGUGGCCACAUUAUCCCCCAAGAAAGUAUUGCGCCAAAGAGCGCGGAGAGGUUUACAAGGUGUGAGCAGAUCAUUCCCGCACCAACAUAUGUGAGGCUGAAAUCAAAAUAGAACCUGCAGCAAAAAAAAUUGGUAGUUAGGAGAAUCUGGCUGCCUGACGAAUAUGCAAUUAUGCAUAAAGUAGGGGUACAAACAAUGGGUGACCAAUAAUGCAUACGUUUGUUUCCAAGCCUUUAGACCAAAGGUAGGGAAUUGAAGAAACCCACAACUCUCUCCACCAGUGUAGAACCACUGGAAGAAGCUCCAUAAGAGGCUGAUCCCAAAGCAAUUCAGAAAUCCGCGGACUUGCUUCCUGGCAUGAAAAGUAGAAUUAAUAAUUCAUAUCACGAACUGCGAUGAUGUAUUUAGCACAAGUGAGACCUGGACCAUACUUUGCACUAUUUUCUCCUUGAGGGGUAUGGAAUCCGUUUAUAAGAACAGCAGUUGCAGUCCCACUUGGAUAGGUUAACUUAUAAUCUAUGAUCAAAGCCUGAAAACGUCAUGCACAUCAUUAGGUGGGACAGACAAAUGCAAAGAAAACUGGUUUCUGUCUUCAAACUACAGAUUGUAAUGACAAAUUUUUUAGACUUGAAGAAGAGUAUCUAGAGGGAAUUCGUGUGUACAGUUGUCUCAUUUAGUCUAUGACAUUUUAUUUGUCUCAAAAAAGUUCAUUUCGUUUUAGCACUUUAGUCAACUUGUUGGUUAAGGAUAAUGGAAAUGUAAUGCCGCAUACCAAAUAUUAGGAUGUGUACUAUGUAGAACUCCCAAUUGGUGUUGAACUGUUGCAGGUUAGUUGGGUUUCCAUGCCAUGCACACGAUGUGCAUUACUCUGGAGUCUGAACAAGUAGUUCUAGUUAAAGCCUUAAAGGUUAGCAAGAUAAAGCAGAUCAAGAACCUAACAAAGUAAAACAGAUAGUGGUAGACUGAUGGGUAACUUAAACUUCCUAGUCUUUCUUGAAAACAUGACCUAUCCGUAUACUGGGAUCAGACAAAUUUACAAAUGUAACAACAGAUUGUUUAUGUAAAAUAUCAUCUUAAAAUAGGAGUGAGUUCACAAUUUUUAAUAUCAGCACAAAACUGAGAAUAUAGCACAGAUUUCACAUGCAACAACUGAGCUAUAUUCUCCAAAAAUCCGAAACAAAACUGAGAGAAAAAAACAGUUCACUGAAAGAUAGCAAAUCACAACAAUUAACGAACAUAAUAGCAGGAACUCCAGAGAGUCCUGAAUUUGCAGGGACAGGUCUAAUUUAAUCCAUUGCAUAUUCAGUACCAACGGAACAAAAAUUGUGGGCAAAGUACACACCUUUCUGAGUGGAAGCAAGUUAAGGAGCCCAACGAAGCUAAUCGCAAACAGGAAUCCGGUCAUCCACCCGACCCCGGGCUCCUUGUAGCUCCCCGGCGAGUUGCCCGGCGUGCUCACCCCGGCCAACUCGUACGUCUUCCUGUUCAGAGCCAGCAGCGACGACCCGAACCCACCUGCGCGCACGAUAUCCCCCAAUUUUAUAUACAGGCGCCAUCGCAAGAACAAAUUAAGAAAGACUUGGGGAGAGAAAUCAAACAGGAAGUAGUAGCGGGGCGCGCACCGCCGAAUCCCAUGGUGUAGCAGGCGACGGCGCAGGUCUGGACAACGGUGUUCUCCUGGCGGGUGAAGGGGCGGCGCCGGGAGGAGGAGGAGGCGGCGCCGCCGCCGGGGAGGAGGAGGGCGGGCGCGCGCGUCCAGCCGCGGAGCGCGAGGAAGGCGAGGAGCGCGGCGGAGACGUUGAGCGUGGGGAUGAUCCCCGUGGUGAGCGCCAGCUUCAUGAUGAUGACGGUGUAGACGAAUCCGAUGAGCAGCGCCGCCACCAUGCCCCGCGCCGUCACCUGCUCGCGCCACGGCGGCACGCGCUCGGCGGCGGCGGCGGCGCCGUCGUGGUCCGACUCCACGUCGCCGGCGUCGCACCUCUCUAUCUCGGGAGCGGCGGCUUCCAUGUGAAAGGUGGCGGCACCAGCUUAGCCGCAGCUUCUCUCGUCGUCUCCCUGAAACGAGAGGGAGGAAGUUGGUAGCGUGAUAUAUUUAGGCAUGUCAUCUCUUGUAUAAGAAGUCUUAUCUGUGCUAAUUCACACGGUUCUCUAAUCUCUCUCCAUUCUGUUUUUGUAAAUUGGUUCAGUAGAUAGCGUAGGGUUAUGCUUAUAUAUACUCCGUGAAGUAUAUAUUUAAAAAUUAGUCACACGUAAAGUACUAUACAUGUUUUAUCGUCUAAUAACAAUAAAAACACUAAUCAUAAAAUUUUUUUAAAUAAUACGAAUGGUUAAACGUUGAAUAUGAACCGUGCAAAACUAUAUUUAUUUUGUAACAGAGAAAAUAUUUCACAUUAAUUAGAUUGUUGUUUUAUGGAAGGUUGGAGAGCUGCGCCGCCGUUGCGCAGACCUAGGAGGCUGCUUAUAAGUUAUAAUCAAUCAAUUCACGGAUGCCGGCUGGGACGCGGCCCAUCGUCCGGGAAGACGACAACUCAACGCAAAAAGCCGAUAUGCCUCCAAAUUGCCAUUGCCACCUCUACGGCUGUUUAUACUGCUCCAAAUCAAAAGCGUCCAUGGAAGAAUCUAGUAUUUCCCGCAAAGACGAUGAUGAUAUGCAGGAUUGGAUAUAUAGGGGGUUGUUGCAUGAUUGCUAGAACUCCCGUUUCCGAAGUUGUUCGUCCAUUUUUAAAGCUGCCAAAUAGGAAUUUAUUUUGUUUUCAAGUGUAAUAGAGUUCUGUCCAGAUGAGUGAAUUAUAAUUUGGUUCACAUUUUAUUUGCUAAGUUUCAGUUUGAACAUUCUCAAAUAACUUUUUUCUUCACUUUUUAACCGAGUAACUUAGUUAUUUUUUCCGUUUGGACCACCCAACAAUUUGUUGCUAAGUGCAUCUCACCCGUCAAAUAAUUCCUUUGAAUCCAAAUUCAAUUAUAUCCCAAAAAUAAAAAACUUCUGAAUUCCACAUCAAUUCAAACCCCAACCAUUUUAAUUUCUCUCCAUAUUUUCCAUUUCUCUAUUUUUACCUUUCUCUUUUUUCCAUCUAUUUAUUUUUUUCCUUUUCUAUUUCUUUCUUUCUCCUUCCUUUCUCUGUUUCCUUCUUCUUCUCCUCGGCUAGGCCCGAGCCAGCCCGUGCCGCCUCGCGCCAACCCUGUGCCGCCUUACGCCGCGCUUGCGUGCGCUCGCGCCCACCUCGUGCCCAACCCGCGCACGCCACACGCACACACGAGGACGAUCGACGGACGAAUGCAAUCAUAUCCCCUUCCUUACUCAGCUAGAAGGCUCAAGAACCGCAACUUUGAUCUCUUCCACCCUCUCAAAUCCGCCCCAACCCCUGCUGACUCAAUCGCCAUUACCGGAGGAAAAAUCCCCGAAACCCUAUUACCGGCGCCACUAACAGAGCUCCAAAAUUCGUCGCAUAAUUCGAAAAUAUUCUGAAAUUGAAGGUAAAAAUGGAAUCUACAUGCGAAGUACUCCCUUUCCCCUCCAAUCCGUCACUGGAACGCCGCCGGCGCCGCCUCCCGCUGCCACUGCCCUGUUUGGCCGCCGACAGCCGCACGGCGCGCCGCUGCUCCAGGCCGCCCUAGCUUCAACCACCGCCACCUUUGGCUCCGCCUCCCUCCUCUUAUGCUCACCAAGCCCGCCUCCCUCGCCGGAGAUCGCCGGAACCACCGCCGCCAUGGCCGCCACCGCCUCCUGCUUCUGGCCGCCGCCGCCAGCCUCGCCACCGGCGCCUAUGCCACCGCCGACCACGGAAACGGAGUCCCUACACCUUGGGGACCACAAAACCGGCGGCAUCCCUCCCAAAACCGGCCUCCUCCACCGCCGGCGUUCGUGGGAUUCCGGCCAGUUCUGUGCAGAGCGAGAGAAGAAGAGGAAAAAUAGAUUUUCCUAUUGAAAGAUAAAUCAGAAAAUUCCUUUUUCUUUUCCUAUCAAGUUGACCAUCCGUUUGACCUCAAAAUCAAAAUCUGAGACCUACUUCAAACUCCUAGAUUUAUUCCGAACCCAUCCGUGCCAGUUUCAUUGCAAUCUGAGCACCCGUUGACGCAACCCUAAUUUUGGCAUAGGUUUGUCGUUCGCCGAAAUUCCAAAAAUCUUUAAAAUUAUUUAUUUAAAUCCUUUUCACCCAUUGUUGCACUUUGUAAUACUAUUUGUUUGGGUUAUCUUUAUUUUUUGUUAUUUAUUGUGGUGAUGAUUGUUGCGUAAAUAGAAAACGCCGACGUUGGUCCUGUAGUCGGAGCGAGUGAAAUCUCCGUGCCAGGAGGAGACGGUUUGUAUGACUACAUCGAGCCCGAAGGUUGCAAGACAUGCACCUCCUUUGAACAAUUUAAUCCCAGUAUUUAGAGAGUUAUUUUGGUAACGUACUUAUCCUUUGAAAUAUGAUAGCCCGCAUGAGUUCUUUUAAAUUAAUUAUAUUAUUGUUAACGAUCAAAUUUGGUAAAUCAUAGAUUGGAUUGGGAGUCAAAGCCAAAGUGGAUUUGGAAGGACUUCGUUCAAUUACUAGUAUUGCAUUAUAUUUUAUGUUGUUGUUAUGGACACCUUAAUGAGCCUUAGAGUCUAACAAGCUUAGGAUAAAAUUUGGGAAACACCUAAAUGAAUAGUAAGGAGAGUUAGGUAGUCCAUACCGAAGAAAUGGUAAAGUUACCCGGUCUAAUGUAAAAAGACUGGUUUAAGGGUGAUCCAAAGUGAAACUUUAGCAAUAGAAGACUACUCACACUGUAAUUUAUUCUAAUACUCUCUCCGUUCAAAAAUAAGUGCACUCAUCUAAUUCAAAUUUAAACUAGAGGAGUACACUUAUUUUAGGAGAGAGGGAGCAUGGAUCAGUUUUAUAUUCUAGAAGCAAAUGCUAGCAGUAUUUCUUACUGUAGGUUUAUGAUAGGUGUGCCAAUGUGUAACGCUCCGCUUUUCGUGAGACGUUAAAAACUAGUUUGAGAAAAUCCUAAUUGCGAAAAUUUUCGUUCUUUGAGUGAGAGUUAAGUCGUGCCGUAGAUCUCAAUUCAAUCUCCAUCGUUGUUCCCCCUCAUCGCGAUCAAAAAUCCUCCACCUCAAGAUUCCAAUUCCGAUUCAAUUAUUCCAAAGGUCAAUCGCCUCCUUUGAAUCCUCGCCAAAUACUUGUCCUGAUUCCAAAAUAUCCGAGUCCACCUUGAAUCCAUUCCUUGGCUCCUCCGUAUUUCGCUGAGUUCAAAUAUGCAAUUUGAAUUCAAACCUAAACUCCAAUUCUCUCCAAUUCAAUAUCUCUGCAGAAGUCUGUUUUGCGUCCUUCUAAUUUUGGAUAGGCCGGAUCCCCUCCCGUCGGCCCAUCUCCUCUCUCAGCCGUUCCCCCUCCUCCCCUCGUAUGUGCGUCGCGCGUGCGCCACGCUCGAGAGAGAGAGCGCUCGCUCUCUUCUCUUCCUCUCUCUCUCACCCGAUUCUCUCUCUCUCUCCCUCUCCCUCUCUCUCUCUCGCUCUCUCUAUUUCUCUCUCUCGUCGAGCUCUCCCCCCAGCGCCGGUUUCCCGCCGUCGCCGUUUGAAUCCGGCCGCGCCCUCGCAUCCCCGCGCGCGCUCACGCAUGGCUGACCGCCCUCGGUCGCCGUCCGUCCUAGCCCGCCUGCGCCGCGCAGCCGCCCGCGCCUCCUCUGCCGCCGCAGCGCGCGUGCGUCCAAGACGCGGAGGCAGCGCCUCUCUCUCCCACGCGCUCUCUCCUCCCUCAACUCACCCAAAAACAGCAAGGAGCAAAGCUCCUUCCCCCUUUUCCUUUUUGCUUUUUCCCUUCCAGCCACCAUCGCCUCCUCUGUCGCGCCCGUGACCACGCUCGACCGCCAUAUCCCGCUCCUUGACCGCCUAGGUCGGUUUCCUCCCAAACCGACUUCACCACCCCUAUAAAGCCCAAAGCCGAGCUCCCCUUCCCAUCUCAAUCCCGCCCGCUUCAGACUCCUACUCCACCGCGCCAUUGUCGCCCUCCCUCUGCUCUCGCCGUCGCUGUCCGCCGCCGAGCACCGGGGAGACCGGUGCGUGCGAGGACGCGUGACGCGAGACUCCGGGCGCCCGUCUUCCUCCCCUUCCCCGGCCCGAGACCGGAUGGCUCGCCCCGUGCCAUCGGCCGUGCAUGCCUGCGCCCGUCCCGGUUUGGUAGUGCCCUCUUCCGUUCCCCUUCCUCGCUCUCCCUCGCCUCCUUUAGCUUGCGCAGAAGCUCGGUAGCCGUCCCGAACGCACAUAGACCAAUGCCCGCCGCCGCCCGGCACGACCUCGCCGCCAUUGCCGCCCGCUCCCGGAGGUCGCCGCUCGUCGCUGGCCCUCCUCAGUGAAGGAAAUCACGAGAACUGGAGUAACGUCGCCCUUCACGCUAGGGUCAACGGUGCGUGUUUCACUUAGUGCACAAAUCGGCACAGGUAAGUACAUAUAUAUGCAUAGACUUGUGAGGCUCGGCUGGGGUUGUUUACAUAACAAACUUGAUCUUAUCUAACUAUCUAAACCACCGGCCAAGCCUCAUCUUGUCUAUGUUUGUUACAUGGGAUAGUAUCUCUAACACUCCCCCUCAAUCUAAACUUCUAAUGUUGAGAUUGUUUCUGAACAUGAAAGACAUGAUUAGCUGACAAAUGUUUAGCUCCCAUGUUAUCACACCAUACCUUUGCAGCUCUAGGAGUUUCAAUGCCCAAUUCUUGAAGCAAAGUCUAUAUCCACAUCAAUUCUGCAGUUACAUUAGCAAGUGCUUUGUAUUCCGCUUCAGUGCUUGAUCUAGACACUGUUGCCUGUUUUCUUGCACUCCAUGACACAAGGUUGGAGCCAAGAUAAAUAGCAAAGCCUCCAGUAGAUCUCCUGUCAUCAAGGGAUCCAGCCCAAUCUGCAUCUGUAAAAGCACUAACAAGACCAGACUUUGAUUUUUCAAACUUAAGUCCUAGACUGGCUGUAUACUUCAAAUAUCUUAAAAUCCUCUUCACUGUUGCCCAAUGAACUGUAGUAGGAGCAUGUAAAAACUGACACACCUUAUUCACUGAGAAGGAGAUAUCAGGUCUAGUCAAAGUUAAGUAUUGCAGAGCCCCUACUAUGCUUCUAUACUGUGUGGCAUCACUAGACCCAAGUAAAUCUCCCUCAUGUAGAGAGAGUUUCUCUGAUGUUGAUAAAGGUGUGUUAAAAGGUUUGCAAUCACUCAUAUUGGUUUUCUUAAGCAAGUCAGCAGUGUACUUUCCUUGAGAUAGUAGCAACCCAUCAUUUACCUUGUUCACUUCUAUUCCAAGGAAAUAGUGCAAAUCACCCAAAUCCUUUAGUGCAAAAUCCUCCUUAAGAUCCUGCAACAAAGCUGAUACUGCACUCUGUGUUGAACUAGCAACAAUUAUAUCAUCUACAUAAAUCAACAUAAAUAUUAUGACAUCACCCUUGCUAUAAUAAAACAGAGAAGUAUCUGCCUUAGAAGCUUUGAAGCCUAGCUGUUGUAGUUUCCCACUCAGUCUUGCAUACCAGGCUCUUGGUGCUUGUUUCAAGCCAUAUAAAGCUUUAUCUAAUUUGCAAAUAAAAUUGGGUUGAGAUGAAUUUUCAAGGAAAGGCUGUUGUUUUCGUAAUUGAUUUUAUUUGAACUUUUUUUCUAAAAACAUCUAGGUGAGUGCUUCUCAAACGACACGGUUGAGACAGUGCGUCCCGUCCGGUCGGAGUAUGUGCAAUGUAUCAGUUUUUAGAAUUUAAACAAGGUUGGCACCCGGCCAACAGCUUUUUCAACGGCCACCCGGGCCAACAACUCUUCAAACGGCCACCCGGGCCAACAACUUUUCAAACGGCCACCCGGGCCUAGCUGAUCCCAUCAGCUGCAGAUUUUUCAAACACCGAACCCCUCUUCACACAGCAAUUUCACAAGCAGUAGUCAAACCAAACUACGCUAGGAAUCACCUCACAUCCGCCCAUGAUCGUGGGCACGGCUGUUCGAACAGUUUGUUAACCUCUGCAGAGGGGGUACACUUUACCCACACGACAUUACUAACCCGGAUCACCCAGCCCGUGGGGAUCAGCCACGUCGGGAGACCUCCAAGCUUUCAUGACAAGGCAUUUCCAAAGCCGACACAGGCUUACCAUAUGCCGACGAGAGGGGUCCCAGACCAACAACAGGUUAGGUCCCAGACCAUACUGUGCCAGGAAGCCCAGGGGGGUCCUCUCCGACACCACCCCGGCGAAUCCACAUGUCUCUCGACAUCAUGGCUCCCCUGAUAAGCUAGUUACUCAGCCAGGGGUGUCCCAUUCCACCCAUGUGGUCGUACUUGUCUUAUGUUCGGAUGAAAUUCCAAGGAAUCGGUCCUUAAGUGCGGGAGCGGGAAAACCGUACACCCGUACGUUCCCGGUCCGCGGUUUUAGAAAUUCAUUUAGUUCGCAAGCACCGACCCAGGUGUCGGGUUUUCCAAGUCUUUUUGUAAAACUCCAAUUUUACCCAAGUUGUUACUCAGAUUUUAAGUUUGAAGGCGACCGUCGAUACUUGCACAGGGUGCACGAGUAUCGAGGCGCAACUGGGUGGUUACAAGGGGACAUGGUAUAGCAAUUAACAAAGGAAGGAUCAAAUGCGACAAAUUAGGUAGGUCCGCCAAUCUGCCUUGCAGACGGGACAAACAGAUUAAGUGCGAUCCUAUCAAUGCAUAGGCUGUUUGGAGCGGAGCGGCGACACUGGCGACAGGCGCGUGCAGAGGCUGCCGGCGGCGGCGACCGGGAGGUCGGCCACCACGGCACGCGCGCGCGGGAAGCAACGGGCGGCGUCCGCGCGGGGGCGCACACGCUGGCUCGCGAGGACGAGCGGCUGCGCGGCUGCAGGCGCGGCAGAGCGAGGGGAAUGGGAGGGGGCGCUCGGCGCGGCGGCUCACGCGCACGCGCGCGCGGCGUGCGGGCGAGGCUGAGCAGGGGAGCGGGGAGAGAGGCGCUCGGGGCGGCUCUCGCACGCGCGAGCAGCGUACGGGCGAGGCCGAGCGGGGGGGGGGGAGAUGGGAGAGCGCGAGAGAGAGAGAGUGAGAGAGCGCCCGGGGAGAGGGGGGCCGGGGGAGAGAUGGGCCGAGCGGAAAUCGGCCCAUCGAACCCGGGGGAGGCAAACUAGACUUUUGCGGAGGAAUUUGGUUUGGAGGGAUUGGAUUCGGAAUUGAACUCGACGAUAGAUCGGGGAUUGAGAUCUUGAGAUGGCACGGACACUAGACAACAAGCAAGGAAACAAAUUUCGCAAUUAGGGUUUUUAAGAGAUAAUUUUCCCGCUAGGCGCCACGACGGAACGGGCGCUACAGACCAACCCCCCUAACAAGAAUCUCGACCCCGAGAUUCAGCACCUAAGGGAGCAGCUCCGGAAACUCGGCGCGGAGAAGAUCUUCUCGCUUCUAGGUUGCCUCAUCUUCAGAAUGGUUGCUCCAUUGGACUUUGUAGAACUUGAUGGUCUUCGUUCGAGUCUGACGUUCUGCCUCUUCAAGAACCUUGGUCGGUCUUUCCUUGUAGGUCAGAUUCUUUUCCAGCACGAUAUUACCCAGGGGAACUUGCUCUUCUGGAACUCGAAGACAUUUCUUUAGCUGGGAUACGUGGAACACGUUGUGCACAUCUGCGAGACCUUCAGGUAGCUCAAGCUGAUAAGCCACUUCGCCACGUCUGGCGGUUAUGAGGUAGGGGCCGAUGUAGCGGGGUGCUAACUUGCCGGACAUCCCAAACCUCCUCAUACCACGGAGGGGUGAUACCCGCAGGUACACAUGAUCUCCUUUUUCGAACUCAAGGUCACGCCUUCGAUUGUUAGCGUAACUUUUCUGACGGUCCUGCGCUGUCUUUAAACGUUCUCGGAUUAGCUUAACUUGUUCUUCUGCUGACUUGAGUAUGUCAGGACCGAAUGCCAGCGCUUCGCCCACCUCAUUCCAGCACAAGGGGGUGCGGCACUUUCUUCCGAACAUUGCCUCAUUCGGCGACAUCUGAAUGCUGGCCUGAUAACUGUUGUUGUAUGAGAACUCAGCAUACGGCAAACAACGAUCCCAAGUGCCUUCGAAAUCCAGGGCACACGCACGUAGCAUGUCUUCUAGGAUUUGGUUUACCCUUUCAGUCUGACCAUCGGUCUGCGGAUGGUAGGCCGUACUAAAAUUUAGAUCGGUUCCGAGGGCUUCGUGCAAUUGUUUCCAGAACCUUGAGGUGAACUGAGUGCCUCGAUCUGACAUGAUCUUCUUGGGACAGCCAAAUCUACAUACGACAUGGGUCAUGUAGAGUUCUGCUAGUUUCUUUCCAUCAAAGGUGGUUUUCACUGGCACGAAAUGAGCUGAUUUCGUGAGUCGGUCCACGAUUACCCAGAUGGAGUCGUACCCGUUAGGGGUUCUUGGCAAACCGGUGAUGAAAUCCAUUCCGAUCUCUUCCCAUUUCCACUCGGGAAUCGGUAGGGGUUGCAGCAGACCAGCUGGCCUCUGAUGUUCCGCCUUGACUCUUUGGCAAAUGUCACACAGGGCUACGUAUUCUGCGACAUCUCGCUUCAUUCCAGCCCACCAGAAGUAUGCCUUGAUAUCUUGGUACAUCUUCGUACUUCCUGGAUGAAUGGAAUAGGCGGACUCAUAAGCUUCCUUUAGGAUGAGAUCUCUUAACUCCUUCUUGGCCGGUACACAGAUGCGUGGACCGCACCAAACUGUGCCUUGGUUGUCUAUGGAGAAAUUGGUGUCUUUCUUCUCCUGUAUUCUUUUUAUUAAUUCUUUUAUCCCUUCGUCGUCUUUCUGAGCCUCCCGGAUUUGCGACUCUAGGGUAGGCUGUACUGUCAAGCUGGCAGGGACACCUGACUGUACCACGGUCAGCCUUAACUUCUCCAAUUCUCUGCACAGGUGAUCUUGGUCAGGCCGUAUUUGAGCUACAUUGUGAUAGGCCUUGCGACUUAGCGCAUCAGCGACCACGUUGGCUUUACCAGGGUGAUAGUGGAUUCCAAGAUCGUAAUCCUUGAUUAGUUCCAACCAUCUUCUCUGUCUCAUAUUUAACUCGGUCUGUGUGAAGAUAUACUUAAGACUUUUGUGAUCGGUGUAUACUUCACAUCUGUUCCCGAUUAAAUAGUGCCUCCAGAUCUUAAGAGCAUGAACCACGGCUGCCAACUCGAGAUCAUGGGUGGGAUAAUUGACUUCAUGAGGCCUGAGCUGCCUGGAGGCAUAGGCCACAACCUUUCGUUCUUGCAUUAGGACACAUCCUAAGCCUUGUCUUGAUGCAUCACAGAAGAUCUCGAAAUCUUUUCGGAUAUCUGGCAAGGUGAGAACUGGGGCAGUGGUCAACCUUUUCUUCAUUUCUUGGAAGCUGUCUUCACAGGCUGCAGACCAUUGAAAUUUCUUUUCCUUCUUUAACAGCUCGGUCAUAGGUCUGGCUAGCUUAGAGAAUCCUUUAAUGAAUCUUCGAUAAUAUCCAGCUAAGCCGAGGAGGCUGCGAAUCUCUAACACAUUCUUGGGCGGGUUCCAAGCAAGUACAGCUUCAACCUUGCUGGGAUCUACUUCGACACCAUUGGAGGAAAUCACGUGUCCAAGAAAUGCUACUCGGUCUAACCAGAAUUCGCAUUUCGAGAAUUUUGCGAAUAGUUGACGAUCCCUGAGCUUUUCCAUUAUCAACCUCAGGUGUUCAGCAUGUUCUUCCUCGUUCUUGGAGUAUAUCAGGAUGUCAUCGAUGAAUACCACAACAAACUGGUCCAGGUAUUCCAUGAAGAUUUUGUUCAUUAAGUUCAUGAAGAAUGCUGGAGCAUUGGUGAGUCCGAAGGACAUUACUGUGAACUCAUAUAGACCAUAACGCGUUGAGAAAGCGGUCUUUGGGAUAUCUUCAGAUCUGAUUUUCAGUUGGUGGUAACCUGACCUCAAGUCAAUUUUUGAGAAAACUCUUGCUCCUUUAAGUUGAUCGAAUAAAUCGUCGAUCCGUGGCAACGGGUACUUGUUCUUUAUAGUUACUUCAUUCAGGGCUCUAUAGUCGAUUACCAUUCUCUCAGAGCCAUCCUUUUUCUUAACCAGAAGCACUGGGGCUCCCCAAGGGGAUGAGCUAGGUCGCACAAAACCUUUACUUUCCAGCUCUUCGAUUUGUCUUUUAACUUCUGCUAACUCAUUAGCUGCCAUUCGGUAGGGUCUUUUUGCAAUUGGUGCGGUGCCUGGUGCCAGUUCUAUGGCGAACUCAAUCUCUCGGUCUGGUGGCAUUCUUGUUAAUUCUUCCGGAAAUACGUCGGGAUAUUCACAAACUAUGGGCACCGACUCCAAUGAGGUGACUUGUAAACAGGUUAAGAUAGACCGACUUGCGGUAGGAGUGUUAGGGGUAAAGCGGACUUGCUUUCCUCCAGGUCCUUGCAAGGUGAUGGACUUUUCGGCACAAUCUAUCUGUCCUUUGUACUUAGCCAACCAAUCCAUCCCUAGGAUGAUGUCCAAGCUUUGCGAGUCUAGGACUAUCGGUUUGGCUAGGAAGUCAACUUCCUCAAUUCUAAGGUUAACUUCCGGGCAUAUUUGAGUUGCCCUUAUAUUCCUUCCAGGGGAAUGUACUAUCAUUGGUACACGCAAAUUUUGGGUUUUCCAACCAUUUCUUUUCACAAAAGCUUGUGAUAUGAAAGAAUGGGAAGCUCCCGAAUCAACCAGAACUAUUGCGGGUAUGGAGUUGACAGAGAACAUACCCAUCACAAUGUCUGAAGCAUCCUGAGCGGUUUCAGCUUGAAUGUGAUUCACACGGCCUCGACCAAAGUGGUUGGAAGCACGUGAACCUUGUCCACUUGCCUGAGAGCUAGGACGAGACUGAGCUGCCGCUGGGUAGGAGUUCUGGCAGUGCUGCCAUUCGCAUGCCCUGAGCUGGUGUUGGUAGGGUUCUGAGGGCACUGUCUAGCAUAGUGACCCAUCUGGUUGCACCGGAAACACUGAACUACUGUCGGUCCCUGUGGUGACUUGAACGAGGUAACACUGUUUGGCGCAGUAUUGCCACUAGGGGCACGCUGCUGUGGCUGAGGUGCCGGACGGUUCAUCUGAGGACGAGGGGCGUAACCUGGCUGGCGGUUAGCCUGAGUGACCGACUGGUGGUAUUGCAUGGGUUGUCCGUAGCGAGGGCGAGGUGCGCCUCGGGAAGAAUUUCCCUGAUGGUUAGACUUGCGUUUCUUGUAUUCUUCGGUAGCCUCUUUUCUAGCAUCCUCGAGUAGAAGUGCCUUGUUGAUCAUAUGUUGAAAAGUGGGGAAAUCAUGAGCAAUCAACUGGAGUCUCAUUCCAACUGCGAUUCCUUUCAAGAAUUUCCUGAUCUUCUUCUCGUCGGUGUCCACUUCCUCAGGGGCGUACCGAGCCAACUUGUUGAACAUACUUAGGUACUCAUUGACACUGCUGUUGCCUUGCUUAAGUCUGUUGAAUUCUUCUUUCUUCAUAUCAAUAGCGCUUUCAGGCACAUGAGCUGUACGGAAAGCCAUAGCAAACUCAUCCCAAGCAAUGUUAGUGGGUUCAGGGUGUGCAUUGCAGUAAUUCUCCCACCAAUCUGCAGCAGGUCCUCUUAGCUGGUGAGAGGCGUAGAGCGUCUUCUCAACCGGAGUACACUGCACUAAGUUGAGUUUUCUAUCAACAUCUUUUAGCCAAUCGUCAGCCUCGACGGGCUCGACGGUAUGAGAGAACUCUGGCGGACGAGACCUCAGAAAGUCUGUCAGCUUGGAUCUAUUGUUGCCCACGUGAGGGUGGCCAUUUCCAUGCGCAUUAUGCUGAAAACUGGCUAUGGCUGUGGUUAAUCCCUGCAAGAUUUGUGUCUGAACUGCCAUUAAGUGCUGCAUGUUGUUUUCCACAUGAGGUGGGGAAGGAAGGCGUUCUUCUCCAGAAUUGUGACUGGCAGUGCGGUGAGAGCGGUGAGAUUGUUCCAUCUCUGCAUUACGGAAAACUGUGCGAUGCGAGCGGUUGCUGCGGCGGGGUUGCUCAACCUCUGCGUUGCGGGAAACAGUAUGGUGUGAACGGUUGCUGUGGUGAGACUGCUCAUUAGCUGAUUCAUGAUUUGCUUCUGCUUCAACUCUACCAUCUUCAAAACCAAAGCGGGCUGGUGCACGAGCUGCACGGCGGGGGCGGCUAGCCAUCUAAACUCCCAGAAAAGGGCGGGGUAAGAGUCAGAUAAGCACUUAGGAGGGCAAGGAGCAAUAGCAACUCAGAUAGCACACACUAGGCAUAAACUGGAUUUUUCAAAUCAUAAAAACACCUGAUACAACGGGUGUGGACAAGUCACAGAGCUACACCGAGCUUGACUGUGCGCACACCACCUAGGAGAACCAGACUACCAAACAACACCCACAACAAACACACGCACGCACUACCUCGCCACGACUCCAAAAGAGUUGGCGGCGGAACAAAAGGGCCUAUCACACGGACGGCUGCUGAAGACUGCCUCCUCUACUCCUCGUCGGCCUGGCUGCCUCCUGUAGUCGGCUCCUCAGUCGAAGAAACGUCGAUCGGCUGGUGCGAAGGGACCGGCAGAACCUGUCGAGGGCCGGCAGCAGCACGGGCCGCUGGCGGUGGGGGAGCUGGGUGGCGGAAACGGAACACGGUGGAAGAACCAACAACACGCUUCCGCGCGGUGCGGAUAAAGCGUGGGCCACGGCGGGAGGAAGCAACUGGGGUGUGUCCGGGGGUGUAGGAAGGGCUAACUGGGUGUGGGUAGGGGGAGUACACUGGUGAGUAUGGCGCACGCGAGCUGGGGGAGCGCGGGCCGCUGGGGGUGCGGGCAGAGCCGCGGGAGCUGUGGGAGGACAGGUGGCUGGCGUGGCAGAGGCGUCCUGAGUCCCAAGAGAUAGUGUCAACUGAGGUGACACCCUCCUCGGCCAGACGGGCCUCCAAGGCGGCGUAGCGGCGGGCAAGGGAGCGGUAAGCCUCAAGGAGUAGGUCGUGCUGAGUGGCCUGAGCCUCCGAAAGCUCAACCAUGCGAGUCAGCACUGGCUGAGACUCGCUGUACGGACAAGGGUACCUGGCGUCUUAGUGGCCAGAGGGAAGGCGUGGAAGCUGCCGGAAGGCGGAGCCUCCGAGACGGUGGCUGUAGUCGUGGGACAGGCGACGAAGCGCCGUCCAGGAGAGGUCCUGGUACGCGAUCUGGAGAGUGGGCCUGGCCACGGUGAAGUGGUGUGGGCGAAGGCCAGCUCCGUGUAUACCUCCACGGGGGUAAUGGUACACAGAGAGCUCACAGUGAGGGGGAACACGGUCCACGGAGUACCCCGUGUACUCGGGACACGAGAAGCCAAGGAAACGGGAGAGGUCACGCCCCGAACUAGUCCCGACCGGAACUAGCCCGUGACACUCCAAAUUAACCUGUUAAUCGAUACCAGUCCCAGGAAACAGUACUGGUAUCACAGGGAGACAGAAUAUCACAGCAACAGAGGUCUCUUUAUUAUAGAGUAGUUGUACAGUCAUGUUGGGCUGCGGACAGAUCCCGAGCUCACAACUGCAUUACAAAAGGAAAGCGGAAGCCAGGACUUGGACCAAUCAACACAGGCGCGACUUGGGAACUAGGCCGAAACCCUAAAACACAUCGUAGCCGGCUUGCUCCUAGAAGAACUCCUCAUCAGCAGGAUCCGCUUCAUCUUCUUCAGCAACUGGGGGGGGGAUUAUUUAUAUAGAGCAAGGGUGAGUACGGGAGUACUCAGCAAGCCAGGGGAAAUAAGUGUUUAAUGCAGGCUUCAAGGAAAGGCUGUUGUUUUCGUAAAUGAUUUUAUUUGAACUUUUUUUCUAAAAACAUCUAGGUGAGUGCUUCUCAAACGACAUGGUUGAGACAGUGCGUCCCGUCCGGUCGGAGUAUGUGCAAUGUAUCAGUCUUUAGAAUUUAAACAAGGUUGGCACCCGGCCAACAGCUUUUUCAACGGCCACCCGGGCCAACAACUCUUCAAACGGCCACCCGGGCCAACAACUUUUCAAACGGCCACCCGGGCCUAGCUGAUCCCAUCAGCUGCAGAUUUUUCAAAUACCGAACCCCUUUUCACACAGCAAUUUCACAAGCAGUAGUCAAACCAAACUACGCUAGGAAUCACCUCACAUCCGCCCAUGACCGUGGGCACGGCUGUUCGAACAGUUUGUUAACCUCUGCAGAGGGGGUACACUUUACCCACACGACAUUACUAACCCGGAUCACCCAUCCCGUGGGGAUCAGCCACGUCGGGAGACCUCCAAGCUUUCAUGACAAGGCAUUUCCAAAGCCGACACAGGCUUACCAUAUGCCGACGAGAGGGGUCCCAGACCAACAACAGGUUAGGUCCCAGACCAUACUGUGCCAGGAAGCCCAGGGGGGUCCUCUCCGACACCACCCCGGCGAAUCCACAUGUCUCUCGACAUCAUGGCUCCCCUGAUAAGCUAGUUACUCAGCCAGGGGUGUCCCAUUCCACCUAUGUGGUCGUACUUGUCUUAUGUUCGGAUGAAAUUCCAAGGAAUCGGUCCUUAAGUGCGGGAGCGGGAAAACCGUACACCCGUACGUUCCCGGUCCGCGGUUUUAGAAAUUCAUUUAGUUCGCAAGCACCGACCCAGGUGUCGGGUUUUCCAAGUCUUUUUGUAAAACUCCAAUUUUACCCAAGUUGUUACUCAGAUUUUAAGUUUGAAGGCGACCGUCGAUACUUGCACAGGGUGCACGAGUAUCGAGGCACAACUGGGUGGUUACAAGGGGACAUGGUAUAGCAAUUAACAAAGGAAGGAUCAAAUGCGACAAAUUAGGUAGGUCCGCCAAUCUGCCUUGCAGACGGGACAAACAGAUUAAGUGCGAUCCUAUCAAUGCAUAAUAUUUAGCAAGCAACAUAAUUAAAUUUCAAAUAUAGGCUCAAGAUGUUCAAAGGUGGCUUGCCUUGCUCGAGAUCCGGAGCUUGAUCCUCGAAAUCCUCGCACUGCGGGUCUUCGGGUUCCGAAACUACACGCGAAACGGGACAACUCAACAAACGGCGAAAAAAAUAAGGCCCUAUUAAUGACCUCUAAGCGUGCCAUUAGAUAGAUCUCGAGAUUUAGGGAAUUUUGGAAGUUGAACGGAGUCAACGGAUUUACGGUUGGGAAGGUAUUGAAUUUCUAAGAUUAUUGAAUUUUUGGCCUAAAGGAAACGGAUUUAAUUAAAUCCUUUUUGGAAAAGAAAAGAAAAGAAAGGAGAGAGGAAAUUUAGACUUUCCUCGGGCGGCUAGGGUGCGGCCCAAGGGAUUUGGGGCGGCUCGGCCGAGCUUAAUGGGCCGGCCGGCCCAAAAGGCGGCCCAGAGCGCGCGCGGGAGGGGAGGAGAGAGGGGACCGGUGGACCGGACUCACCGCGCGCGGUCCCGGGUGGGACCCGCUUGUCAGCGGCUCGGCUCACCGUGCGGAGGGAGCACGCGGUGCACGCGCGCGGGCGGGGUUGGGACGCGGUGCACGCGCGCGGUUUGCGGUGGACGCGGAUGCGGCGGGCCCACGCGCAGCCUCACGGCUCGCGGUGGAACGCGCGCACACGGAGAGACCGACCGGGGUUGGCCCGACCCGGUCUGGGCUGAGCUGGCGCCGACGUGGUGCCUACGUGGCUGCCACGCGGGCCGGCGGAAGGUAGACGACGAUCCGGCCGCGAAAGGACGGCGGACGGCGGCGGCGAGCGGCGGAGCGAACCACGGUGAUACGGGCAAAAGCGAGCACACCGGGCGGUUGUUCGUGACGAGGGGAGACGAACCAACGGCUCGGAUUCGCCGGAGGUUGCUCGACGGCGGCGGAUUGCGGCGGCGGCAACUGGCGGCGGGAGAAGGGGAAAACGGCGACGAAGCUACGAGGGGUCGAUUCCCGGCGGUGAGAGCAUCUACGCGGCGUCGGGAACUCGACGCUAGCGUCGGAUUGGACGGAACUACGCCGAGCGAGGCUGGCGACGUGCGGGUGCUACGGGGCUCGAGCGGCGACGGCGGCGAGCACACGGCGAGCGAAGGCAACGGCCGGGGCGGCGCCGGCUAACUACGGGGAGGCUACUCAAGCUACUACCGAAAGCUAGGGGAAGGAGAUGGAGCGAGGAGGAAGAACGAAGAGAGGCACUACCGUGCGGGACAGGGCGCUGUGACGAGAGGCCGACGGCGCGGGAGUAAUCUCUCCGGCCUCGGGCCGGGGAAGAGGAAGGAGAGGGCGCGGCCGGAGUCCUCCUUCCUCUUCCGCGUCCUUGCUCGUGCCGGCUCCUCCGACACGCGCAACGACGAUCGGCGACGGCGAAAUAGAGGGCGGCAAUGGCGUGGAGGCGAAAAUGAGGGAGUUUGGAGGGGGAGGGCUUGGGCUUAAAUGGACGGCAAUGUCGGUUUGGGAGAGGGGAACCGACAUUGGACGGUUAAGGCGCGAGCUGGCGCUCGGCGCUUGCAGCCAAAGCGGCGGCAGGAGGAUGACGCCGGCGAGGAGGAAAAGGGGAAAAGGAGGGGGAGAAAGGGGCUUGCCCCUUUGCCGAUUCGGGAAAAAGAGGGGGAGGGGAACGGGAGCAUCGCGGCAGAGGGAGGAGGGGCGCGGCUCCAUCCCUUGGCGGCUUGCGCGCGGAGGGGCGGGGGCCGGGCGAUGACGGCGGGGCGGUUUGGAGCGGAGCGGCGACACUGGCGACAAGCGCGUGCAGAGGCUGCCGGCGGCGGCGAUCGGGCGGUCGGCCACCACGGCACGCGCGCGCGGGAAGCAACGGGCGGCGUCCGCGCGGGCGCGCACACGCUGGCUCGCGAGGACGAGCGGCUGCGCGGCUGCAGGCGCGGCAGAGCGAGGGGAAAGGGAGGGGGCGCUCGGCGCGGCGGCUCACGCGCACGCGCGCGCGGCGUGCGGGCGAGGCUGAGCGGGGAGAGAGGCGCUCGGGGCGGCUCUCGCACGCGCGAGCAGCGUACGGGCGAGGCCGAGCGGGGGGGGGGGAGAUGGGAGAGCGAGAGAGAGAGAGAGAGAGAGAGAGAGAGAGAGAGCGCCCGGGGAGAGGGGGGCCGGGGGAGAGAUGGGCCGAGCGGAAAUCGGCCCAUCGAACCCGGGGGAGGCAAACUAGACUUUUGCGGAGGAAUUUGGUUUGGAGGGAUUGGAUUCGGAAUUGAACUCGACGAUAGAUCGGGGAUUGAGAUCUUGAGAUGGCACGGACACUAGACAACAAGCAAGGAAACAAAUUUCGCAAUUAGGGUUUUUAAGAGAUAAUUUUCCCGCUAGGCGCCACGACGGAACGGGCGCUACACUAAGCUGCCAUCAGCUUUCCUCUUCACUUUGUAUACCCACUUACAAUCAAUGAUAUUUUUGCCUUGCUGAGGAGGUACAAGGUGCCAUGUUUUGUUUCUCAUUAAUGCAGUAUACUCAACAUCCAUUGCAUUUCUCCAUCUUUCAUCAGUUAAAGCCUCAUCUAAAGUUUGAGGCUCACCUGUAGCAGCAAACCCAGUAUAUUUAUAUGGAAUGGUUCCAUCAGUAUAUACCUUAGGUUUGCGGAUUCCUCCUUGCAACCGUGUUUUCGGUGUUGUAGGUUCUCCCCCUGUCUCAGGCAUCAGUAUCGUCUGCUCGACAGUACUAUCAUCAGGAGUACUACUUGCAUCUGCAGCAGGAGCACUGGUGUCAAUAAUUAUAUUAUUCACCGGUGCAUGCGUCAGGGAGGGAGUGCCAACAGCUUCUCCCUCUCUUUCUGUUGAUGUGGACGCGCCCGGUUGGUCAGUACCGACGCAAGUAUGCGACGGUGUUGCAGUGCCGCUAUCACUUCCAUCUAUCUGCAUGGAGCUGUCGCUUCCAUCUGGCUGCAUGGAGAGUUGUUCUGCUUCCUGCACACCAUCACUUGCACCCAGAUUUUCUGCAUUUUCACUAGGAGCAUUAGUGGUAUUAGGAAAAUCAAGCACAGGAUUAUCUAUUUGUUCUCCCCCUUGAUCAUGUGCAACUAGAGAGGGUGAAAGUGAUGUAAUUUCUGCACGCAACCGUGCACCUGCAUUGGGCUUGAGGCUAGAAAAAGGAAACACACUUUCAUCAAAUAUAACAUCUCGGGAAACAUAUAUCCUUCCAGAUGAGACAUCAAGGCAUUUAAAACCUUUAUGCUGUGUGCUAUAGCCAAGAAAAACACAUUGCUUCGAACGGAACUGUAAUUUUUGAGAAUUAUAUGGGCGCAAAUGUGGCCAACAUGCACAACCGAAAGUGCGAAGAGAGGAAUAUUCAGGACUUUGGUGAAACAAUCGAUCAAGAGGUGUCUCAAAAUCAAUAACUUUGUUAGGAAUUCGAUUAAUAAGGUAGGAGGCAGCUAGGAAUGCCUCAUCCCAGAACUUGAGAGGCAUGGAAGCAUGGGCUAAAAGAGAGAGACCAACUUCAAUGAUAUGUCUAUGCUUUCUUUCAGCUGACCCAUUCUGUUGAUGGGUAUGAGGACAUGAGACCUGAUGGGAGAUCCCAAUUUGGCGAAAAAAGCUAUUUAGUUUUUCAUAUUCUCCACCCCAAUCGGUUUGCAUGGAGAUAAUUUUUCGAUCAAAACGUCUCUCAACUAGAGCUUGGAAUUCAUGGAAAAUUUUAAAAACAUCGGCUUUGAACUUUAAAAGAUAAACCCAUGUAUACUUGCUAUAAUCAUCCACAAAACUAACAUAAUACUUCUUUCCUCCAACAGAAGUGGGUGCAGGCCCCUAAACAUCAGAGAAAAUGAGUUCCAAAGGAAAGUUAGAGACACUAUUAGACUUAUGAUAAGGUAGCUGAUGGCUCUUGGCCAUUUGACAAGCAUCACAAACCGACUCUCUACUUUCCACACCUUGACAUGGCAAUUUAUUUUUGCUAAUGACUCGAGACACGAUAGGAUUAGCAGGAUGUCCUAGACGACCAUGCCACCUUGCAAAAGACGGCACCACAGCAUGAGCUUGUUUUGUUGGUGAAGUGGAUGACGACGAAGUGGGCAGGGGGGUAGAGGCCUUGGCGACAUCUCCCCUCAAGCAUUGUGGUCCUCAUGGCUCGAUCCUUAACCAAGAAAUAUUUACCAUGAAUUUCAACAAAGGCAGAGUUAUCGGAAGCAAGUUUUGAUGCGGAAACAAGAUUUUUUGUGGCUUGUGGAACAUGUAAGACAUUUUUCAGAUGUAAAUUGCGCAUGGGGGUAGAAACAAAAGAUUGACCUAUGUGCUUGACUUCCAUACCUGCUCCAUUGGUGGUGUGCACAUGAUCAUUACCCUUGUAUUUGUCGCGGAUGGAAAGUUUGUUGAGCUCGCUGGUGAUGUGAUCUGUGGCACCGGAGUCUAUAUACCAAUUGGAGUCAGCUCCAUAGGCAUAUGAGACUGCUGCUGCUACAUGACGCUCUUCCGGCACAUAGUUCUGAUCGAACCUGUGCCAGCAGUCAGACGCAGCAUGUCCUCGCUUGAAGCACACCUGGCACACAGGCCGGGUGUCAUUGCGGCCACCGCCACCAGUCCGGCCGCCACGGUUGGCGCCAGCGCUCGGAGCUCCACGGCCGCUGCCGCGAUUUCCACAGCCACCGCGACUGGAGAAGCCACCGCGGUUGCCUCGCCCUGCUGCAUUGGCAGCGAUUUCUGCUCUCCUCAUCUCGAGCCUGUUCUCAAAACUUAAUAGUUGUGCAUAUGCAUCUGACAGUGUAAGUGGUUCAACCCUAGCAACUAGAGCCGAAACAAUAGGAUCAUAUUCGUCAUCUAGACCAUUUAGUAUAAAAGCAAUCAAUUCUUCAUCAUCAGGUGGUUUUCCAGACGCUGCAAGUUCAUCUCCAUAUGCCUUCAUCUUACCAAGAUAUUCAGAGAUUGUGGAUGACCCCUUCUUUGUUGUGCAGAGUGAUAGCCGCACGUUCAUGGACCUUGCUCGAGUCUUCGUAGUGAACAUACCUUGAAUCGCAGCCCAUCCUUCAACCGCCGUCUGCACCGUGGCUACCUGAGACAAGACGUCUCGAGAUAACGAGGAGAAGAUGAAGCCGAGGACCUGUUGGUCCGCAGCGAACCACUCGUCGUACGCCGGGUUCGCCAUCCUGACGAUCUUGUCGCCGGUCUUCUUGUCAUCUGAUGGAGUCUUGUCGAUCUCCUUGGGAGGAACUUCGGUCUUGCCGGUGAUGUGUCCCUCCAGUCGUGCCCCACGAAUCGUCGUGAGCACUUGAGCUGACCACAGUUGGUAGUUCUGCUUGUUGAGUUUUUCGGAGACAUGAGAUCCGAAUAGAGGAUUGGUUUGGGAGGUGGAAGAGGAAGAACUGGCCAUGGUGGAUGGAUAGAUUGGAUCUAAACUUCAGAGCUCUUAUACCAUGAAGGAAAUCACGAGAACUGGAGUAACGUCGCCCUUCACGCUAGGGUCAACGGUGCGUGUUUCACUUAGUGCACAAAUCGGCACAGGUAAGUACAUAUAUAUGCAUAGACUUGUGAGGCUCGGCUGGGGUUGUUUACAUAACAAACUUGAUCUUGUCUAACUAUCUAAACCACCGGCCAAGCCUCAUCUUGUCUAUGUUUGUUACAUGGGAUAGUAUCUCUAACACUCAGUGCCUCUCCUCCCCAUCCGGCGCCGGAAACGGAUUCCCCGAGCCCCGGAGAUGCUCCCGCCGCCCUCAAUCGAUCCCUCGUUAACCGCCGCCGUUUCCCCUCUUUGCUCGCCGCCGGUAUGCGCCGCCGCGAUUCGUCGCCGCCGGCCUCCCUCCGGUGAAUCCGGGCCGGUGGUUCGCUCCUUAUUGUCCCUCCCGUCGCUCCGGUGACCUCCCUCUCCCUUGAAUCCCCGUGUGCUGCCCCGGCGAAUGUCGCCGCCGUCCGCCGUCCAUCCGGCCACGGCCUUUCUCCCUCCUCCCGCUCGCCAGCGUGGCCGCCACCUCGGCUUUGACCGAGCCAAGUCGGUCAGCCGCCUCCUCCCUCCCCCACCCUCACGCGCGCGGUCCACGGUGCGCCAACCGGCUGCGCGUGGGCCCGCCGCAUCCCUAGUCCAUCCGGUGCACGCGCGUGAACCGCGCUCACCCGAAUCCUAGCGCCACCCUUACGUGCGCCCAUCCCUCCAUGAGUCGCGUCACCGACAAGCGGGUCCCACUCGGGACAACGCGAUAUGAGCCCGGUCCACCGGCUCCCUCUCUCCUCCCCUCCCGCGCGCCCUAAUGGGCCGUGUCUCCUUAGGCCGGCCGGCCCGUUAGCUCGGCCGAGCCGCGCCUCUUCUCUCGGGCCGCGCCCUAGCCGCCCGAGGGAAGUCUAAAUCUCCUCCCCAUUUCUUUUCCUUUUUAAAAAGGGUUUAAAUAAAUCCUUUUCCCCCUAUUCCGUAAAUCAAUUCUUUAUUCCAAAAAUUCCAUGAAUCAUUUUCCUUGGUUCCGCACGUCAGUGACUGUCAAUAAUAUUCUUGAGAAUAUUAUUUCUAUAAAUUCCAUAAACCAUUCCUCUCAUUCUAGAAAUUCCAAAUAAACUUCCGAAAUCCAUAUCUUCUCAACCGCUCAUCCGAUUGACUCCGUUCAACUUCCAGUAAUUCCGUAAAAUUAAGAACUAUCUAAUGGCACUAUUAAUUAGUCUAAAUAGGGUCUUUCUUUUGAUCUUUUGUUUAGGUUUUUGAUUGUUUGCGUAUAGUUGCGGUUGCGGAUUUUCAUCAAUCAAGGAUUUCUCGAAGAUUCGUGAAGCUUCGUGAAGACCUUGAGCAAGGCAAGUCACCCUUUGACCAAUUGCUCCUAUAAUCGAAAAAAUCAUUAUUAUUUUGUUUGCAACUUGCAUUAUUAGAAUCACCCGUUUAACUUGCUUGGCCUCGGUUUGCAUGCCAAACCGACAGACCUACCUAGUAGUCGCACUAAUUCCUGUAGGCUAUACUACCCUGACUCCUUGUAGCUCCACCUUUGUGGUACCUCGGUAUCCAUGUUCUUUGAGCGCGUAUACCAAAUAUCCUACAUACACCGUUGUUUGUCGAAAACUUGGGAAAUGGGUUUGAGAAGCCUUGAAAACCCAACAUGUGGUGUCGGUGUGUUUGAAAAUAAAAUAAAUUGUGAAAACUCACGAUGUGGGGGUUGUGCCUAUGUGGCACUGUCCCGUAUUCGCAUAUAAGGACCGAUUCCUGUGGGAAAUUCAUCCGAGCAUAUAACAAGUGCGACCACAUGGGUGCAAUGGGACGCCCCUGGCUGAGUAAUUAGCUAAUCGGGGGAGCCAUGAUGCCAAGAGACAUGUUGAUUCAACGGGGUGGUGUCGGGGAGAACCCUCGGGCUUCUUGGCACAGUAUGGUCUGGGACCUAACCUGGUGUUGGUCUGGGACCCCUCUUGUUGGCAUAUGGUAAACUUGUGUCGGCUUUCGAAAUGCCUUGUCAUGAAAGCCUUAGGGUCUCCCGACGUGGCUGAUCUCACGGGCUGGGUGAUCCGGGUUAGUAAUGUUGUGUGGGUAAAGUGUACCCCCUCUGCAGAGGUUAACUAACUGUUCGAACAGCUGUGCCCAUGGUCAUGGGCGGAUGUGAGGUGUUUCCUGUAGCGUAGAUUUGUUUGCUUGUGCUUUGUGAAAAGUUGUUGUGGUGUGGGAAUCGUUACCAGAAUCAGCCUAUGUGGCAGAUGGAUGACCUGAGUGGUCAAGAAACGAAUCUGUGUGAUUCGGGAUGUCUACGGGCAUCAUAGACUAGACUUCUCGAGCGGAAGCGGAUUGUUGUGCUGCUGGGCAGCUGGACUCUGGGAGUCCGAGAACAUGAAUAAGGCUCUGGGAGCCGCUUAAUCAAGUGAAAUGGCUCUGGGAGCCGAGAAGUAAUGAUCUGACCUGGGGGGUCGGUACAUUACCAAUUGAGUUGUUGAAAAACAUCUCUUAAAGUCGAAUCGAGACGCAAGCCUCUUUUCGGCCCAAACUUAGAAAGAAGUAAACCACUUAGUGAUUUCAAAAUGAUUUCAAAACAAAAGAUUUGCAAAACAACCUUGCCUCUCUUCCAAGCUUGCAUUAAACACCUAAAUUCCCGUGACUUGCUGAGUACGAAAGUACUCACCCUUGCUCUAUAUAAAUAUAUAUAGUUCCUCCGUCCUGAAGUUGAAGAUGAAGUAAAGUGAAGAUUAGGGUUUCGUCCUGGUUCCCAGCCGUCGCCUGUGGUGUUGGGUAUUAGUCCGUUGGUUCCGCUGCUGCUGCUGUUGGUGUUUCCUCGUCCGUAUCGUCGGUUGUAUUCUCGGGCUGUCUUGAGCUGCAACCUAAGUUAAGGUAAAUAAGUCCUCUAUUUAUUUUAAGGAUUGCAAUGAUUCAUAUUUGUCACCGUGGGUACCAACGCUAUGUCCUAGGAUUGGUACUGAGAUCGCGGUUUCGUAGGAAGCGGUUCGCGCCGUUUUUCCUACUAUACACUCCUGUCAGGUGCCGUUGUACGGUGGUGCCAGAUUGGGGUGUGACACAAUGGAAUGUGAGGCAAGAUUUAUGAUGUCAUUUCAUUCGCCCUUGUAUGAUAAACACGACUGCAAAAAUUCCUUACAAUAAUUGAUUGCGGAGCAAUAAGAAAUAGCCUUAAGCUUAAGACUAGCCUUUACUAGCUUAUAACUCAUCCAUAAGAAAUAAAAAAGUGUUCUUUCUCUUACUUCCUUUCAUCAUGUUUAUGUUUGUGUCUGCAAGCUUUACUAUUCUGGAUAUCUUUUUUCUCGUGGGAUCCACCUUAUGGCUUUACGUACUAUUUUGUUUUUAUUCAUAGAACACCAUGACCAGCGUGAGAUCUCAAUUAAGGGUCGUAUGACCUCCAUACAUUGAGGAUGCCCAUAGACGAUUAUGCUGCUAAGAAGCAUGCGAACGAAACAAAAUAGGAGCAGCAGUUCUGAUAUAAAUGCAGCCGAAUAAGCACCGAAUCUGACGUUCCUGCUCAGCUAGCACCACGAACGUGAAGAAGCCAAGCCGAUCGAAGGAUGGCUGCCGUGUCGUGUAAUCGUGUUCGUGUAGAACCACGUGAAGAGGCUGCAUAAUUUAAGAAGCUGAUCCUGAAAAUGUUUGAGAAAUUCACGAACUUCGAUCCCUCGAGUCAGUUAUGAAAUCUUCAGAGUUCCGGCUAUGGAUGUAUGGAACUCAUCGAGUCCUCUCGUUUGGCGUUUGGCGUUUGUAUGGGCCUAAAACUCGGCCUGAUGAUAUAUAUGGGCCUAAAUUUUAGUUCGACUUUCUUAGCCUAUGCCGGAUCUGGCCGGGAUUGAUGAGACCCAUCCAAACAGGUAAGAUCGUAACAGAUGUGGAAUAGGUCCGUUUUGCUUUCCCUAUCUUUGCAUUGAGUUUAAAUCGCAACUCUGAAUCACUCAAUAAUGAGUAUUUUUUAUAAUGUAAGACUUUCUAGCAUGCAUUGUCCAUGAAUGUGAGCAAUGCUAGAAAGUUUUACAUUGUGAAACGAAGGAAGUAGAAAUCUUGAGCACCUAACUUGUAAAACGGGAUUAAAUUAGAUCCUCUGAAAGUAUAGAUGAUUGGUUUCCCUGAUAAACCGAAUGAUCAAACAAGAUAGAAGCACAUGUCAUUACUUUGCCAUGUCUCUUGUCUUAUUGAUGUCAAAGGUACUAGACAAAGACGGAUAGACGGAGGCACACUAUACCACAUUUACAUAGAAGAGGAACUCCUUUUCUAUAGAGCAUUAACUAUAUUUAGUACUAUUCAAUUUCAUAAGAUAAUAAUUAGUACAUGCUUUUGCCCACUGAUUGAUACUUGAGCAGAUAUAGGAGUGGGGUACAUGUAGUAAUUCUAUACUAAACUUCUCUAGACAUUAAUUAAGUAUAAGAAACAGGGUUUAUGAUUCUGAGAUGGUCUUCCAUUUUGGGCUCUAGCGAAAUGACGGUUUUCGCGAAAUCUAGUGGAAAGCCGGUAGAUUCCGAACAAAUUUUAUAAAGCAAAAUUUGAAUACAAAUUCCUUGACUUUACCAGUUGGCUUUGAUGAAAUUCUGAGUGAAAUCAUCGAAAUUUCAAUUGGUAACUAGAAAAAGAGGUGAACUGAAAGUGCUUUUCUUUUUUUUAAUUCGUUAUUCUUUUCUCUCUUACCGUAAGUUUUAGUAAAUACACGAAAUAUAUUAUUUUUUUCGAAAAUUUAUAUCCCAAUAUGUUAUAUGAAUAUCAUACUAUAUAUAAUAUUUUAUUUGAUAUUUUCCUUUUUUAUCAAUUCAAAUUUGAAUUUGGAUAUAAUUCAUUGAAAUCUCAGACGGUAUCUACUUUCGAGCCUUAUCGAAACCUUGAAAUUUUACGGAAUUUGACCGGUUUUUGUCGGAAUUGUGAACCCUAUUAGUAUCGAGGCCUUUACAAUUAUGCUUAGGCCCCAUUCUAAACUACAAUUCCAAAUUAUUUUUUCGUUAGCGUGUCCAUAACUGCUAAAUGGUACAUUUAUUUUUAAAAAAAUUAUAUAAGAGUUUCUAAGAGAAGAAUUAAACAAAUUUAUUUUAAAGAUUAUAAUAAUUGAUACUCGAACACAACCUUAGUUGAGAUUACAGUGUAGUAGUCAUCAAUCCUAUACAUGUGAGUAAAAAAAGUUAUAACAUAUUUUAUGUAUGCCAAACUAAACAAUUCUCAAGUUAUAAAAUGUACAAGUGUACAAACACAGCUAAUUCGAUAGGUAAAUUAAAACACAAACAUGACUUGGAUCAUAGGCAAACAGCAGCUCACUACAACCAAAAGACACAUUUACAGUUAAUCAUCACUGUUUAUUUCUGCAAUCCUCCACCCAUGAAAUUAAACACACUACACCUCUUAGCUUCCAGGCGUAAACUUCAUGCAGAUCGGUGGCUUAAUCUUAGCGAGAGCAAGGAUAGAAGAAGGGAAGGUCCAAAUGCCAUCGCCACACAUGAGCCCAGACGCAACAGCAGGCACCAUGAAGGCAGCCUCCUUCUUGUUCAUCUUGUUCCAAGCAAACAGCACCAGGCUCCCGACGCACAUGUCGAUGGCGAAGCUCGCCCCUACGAGGAACGGCACGGCCAUCGCCGUCGGCAGCGGCACGAGCUUCUUGUACCUCGCCGGCAGGGCGUCCCUCGCCACGUUCGUGAGCACGGCGAACGCGAAGAACCCGACGGAGAGCGAGAGGCAGUGCUUGGGCAGCGCCGAGAUGCCCUCGAUCCCGAGGAUCGCCAUGUUGCGGUAGAUCAGCGCGUAUGGCGCCUUCCAGUAGCCAUCGGGGUUCCCGAUGUCAAACGCCCUGUAGAACAGCAUGAACGUCAGUGGCGCGAUGAAGCAGCCAAUGCCUGUCCCGAUGAGCUCUCCCACGAGCAUGGACCUCGGCGAUGUCAAGGUGAGAUGUCCCGUCUUGAGAUCGUGCAUCAGAUCGGCAGAGACGAGCACCAGCUGCUUCACCAGGGUGCCAACCACAAGGCCGGCUAUGACGCCAUUGUCCUUGCCAGCCCAAGCUGCAAAGACGAAGAGAGCGAUCUUGCCGUAGUUGUACCCCAUGUUGAUGUCCGUGAGCCCUGCUCCGUAGGAAUUGGCGAAUCCUAGCACCGGGCCGAGCGCGUAGGCUAUGAUCACGUAGUACCACUUCACUUGUCGAAACAUUAUCGGUAUGGUGAUUACCGCAAUGAUGCUUAGCAAGAAGUAACCACUGUAUGCCAUCCAAGAAGGGACAGUACCCCUCUUGAAUACCUCAUCACGUUGUAGAUCAUCUAAUGAAACCAUAUCACCCUCCUCUGAUGCUGCAAUUCAUUUCAUUUAGCCAUCAUUAACAGUGUUAUGAGUAUGUGAAAAUUAAGGUGAUGGAAGAGUGUGAGAGGCAUUCCAUUUCCAUGUAGUUGAAUUUGCAAUGGUUUCAUUUUCUCACCUGUGUUGCUAACACUUUUUCGGUUAAAUCUAUUAUGUAAACUCUUAGCAGUGACACCGGUAACUUUAACAAAAUGGUACAGGCCAUCCCCCAUAAUCAGAGCAAUGCAUAAAAACGACUGCAAAAGGAGCAAUUUACAUAAGUUAUCUGAUGGUUUUGUAAGUAGUAUCUGCUUUUACAUUAAGCAUUGAGAAAAUAUGAGACCUUGUAACCAUACAAACUUGUCAUGCUGCUUUCAGGUAUGUUUGCAGGGUACCAGUCCCCCUUAUGUUUGCUGAUAAGUGGCCACAUUAUUCCCCAUGAAAUGACCGCACCAAGGAGGGUAGAGAGGUUCACAAGGUGUGAGCAAAUCAUCCCCGCACCAACAUAUGUGAGGCUAAAAUCAAAGAAGAAUCUGAUAUCCAAACAAAUUCAGACUUAGAAAAUUUGUCACCGCAUGCUACAAUUUAUAUAAAUCUGUGAUGAACAAUUAGGAAAUUAGCAUAUAAUUCUUACGAUUGUUUCCAGGCUUUCAGACCAAAAGUAGGGAACUGAACAAAUCCACAGGCAUUGCCUCCCGUGUAGAACCAUUGGAAGAAGCUCCAAAAUAAGCUAAGCCCAAAAUAUUUUAGAAACCCAUGGAGUUGCAAUCUGUCAUGAAUGCAGAUUGCAGAAUUAGUUCAUUUAGGGUCAACGACUGUCUAACAAGAAUAAUGCAAUGAGCACAAUUAAUUGAGGUGAAAACACGUAUACUUUGCAUUCUUAUCUCCUUGGGCUGUGUGGAACCCGUUGAUAAGAACAGCUGUUGCAGUUCCACUUGGAUAAGUUAAUUUGUAGUCUACGACCAAAGCCUGAAAGCAUUUAGUACCAAUUAAUUUAGUAGGAAUAGAUAAUUGAGACCUAUUUUUUAUCCUUAAAAAAUGUUUUGUGUCACAUCACUACUUAUAUAAUGCUACUGUAGUCCAUGAAUGUUCCCAUCCUUUGGGCUCUGCUUUUUUUUUUUUACAUUGCUGCCACGUACCAACUGCAUCUUGGAUUUGUUAUUUCCAAAGGUUUUUUUUUACUUGAUUGCAUUUUCUUACUGAGUUUAUGACAGCUUUGUCAAUUGUCAACCAACUGGCUUUAGAAAUUAGGAGAGGGUGGCGCAGUUUGAAACAGAUCAUUAUUGAGCGGAUUAUUGCUACGAAUAAUCUACUUUUAUAUGUAUGUAUAUAUAUAUAUAUAUAUAUAUGUAUGUAUAUAUAUAUAUGUGUGUGUGUGUGUGUGUAUAUAUAUAUAUAUAUAUAUAUAUAUAUAUAUAUAUAUAUAUAUAUAUAUAUAUAUAUAUGUGUGUGUGUGUGUGUGUGUGUGUGUGUGUGUGUGUGUGUGUGUGUGUGUGUGUGUAUGUAUGUAUAUAUAUAUGUGUGUGUAUAUAUAAAGAAAAUAUUUUAAUAAAUAAACUUAACAAAUCUAUACUGCUUUAAAAGAUUGUGGUGGUAGUGUUCAGCCACCAAUCCACCACCAACAACUAUCAUGUAGGGGUCCAUGGAAAGUGAGAUAACACUUUGAUUUUUUUUAGCCACCUCACACAAGAGAGUUAUGAUAACUGAAUAUCCUUUUUAAGGAAAUUUUAUUAAUCUAUGAUAUAUUAGAUAAUAGGGAUGACUUUUCUAAAGGCUCUAAAAAUAUAUACAAUGAAUUAUUUUUUAAAAGUGAUCCAAACAGUACACUAGUAGAAAGUUUUAUCAGAAAACACAAUUUUCAAACAUUAAGUAAAUAAUUUGUUUCAACAAUUCUAUAAACAAUUAAAAAGAACUAACCGAAGUGGAUCAAAUUAAGGGAAGAAAGGCACACCUUUCUUAGGGGAAUCAAGCUGAGGUUACCCGCGAAGCUAAUAGCCAGGAGGAGCCCUACCAUCCAGCCAAUCCCAGGCUCCUUAUAGCUCCCUGGCACAUUGCCUGGUGAGUUCCCGGCCAGCUCGUACGUCCUCUUGUUCAGGCCCAGCAAUGUCGAUCCGAACCCACCUGCAUGAACCACUCACACCGAUCGAUCAAUACAGAGCACAGAUCAACAUCUAUGUGAGGUUCACAUUCUCGGUGUAAAUUUCCAAAAUUUCAGGUUUUACGGUGGUAUCGGUACAAUUUUCCAAAAUUUCACUAAGAUUGGCUCUGCUUAAAAAAAAAUUUUGAAACAUAAGGCGGAAUGAACUUUGUUCCACUUUUAUAUUUAGAAGAAGAGAAUUGAUACAGUUUAUAAGGAAAACCGGAUCCGAAAACCACACAAUUGCACGGUUAAUUAUAAGGAAACUGGCUGAAACCCACCGCUACACAACUAACAACGACGGUGGAGCCCAAAGCUUAAAAAAAAUUCGCAUAUGUAUAAAUUAGCUAAAAUAUGUUUCAAACUUCAAGAAAGUUAUUCCAAAUUUUUGAAUUUCGGUCCUUUUUUUUCCAUUUUGAAAUAUAAAACCCUGCUUAGAGUCAAGUUAUUGAAAUUGAAAAACAUUUCAGGAGUACUGAUAGAAGCGAAAUUUUAGAAAUUGUGGGAAUCUCAAGAUGUUUUGGACGAAAUUAAAUACUUAAAUUUAAACAAAAUUUAUUUAAAUUUAAAUGUUUUCUUGAAAAAUGGCCGAAAGAAUAUUCUAUUGGAGGAUCAAAAUUUCGGAAAUUCCGUUCCAAAAAUGGAACCCUCUGCCUAUAUAGUAAUAAGAGAUCGACGCAGAGGCUGCAGCCCGGCGACGUACCGCCGAAGGCUAUGGUGUAGCAGGCGACGGCGCAGGUCUGGACGACGGUGUUCUCCUGCCGCGUGAAGGGCCGCGGCGAGAAGCCGAGGCGCUCCAGCGCGCGCGUCCAGCCGCGGAGCGCGAGGAAGGCGAGCAGCGCGGCGGAGAUGUUGAGCGUGGGCACCAGCCCCGUGGUGAGCGCGAUCUUCAUCACGAUGACGCUGAACACGAACCCGAUCAGCGCCGCCGCCACCACCCCGCGCGCCGUCACCUGCUCCCGCCACGGCUGCAGCCGCUCCAUCUCCCGCGCCCGCGCCGGGUCCGCCUCCGCGUCCUCGUCGUGCAGGCUCCCGAUCUCGGGCGCCACCCGCGUGCGGUCCGCGUCGGCGUGCUCCAUGGCGGCGGCGGCGGCGUCGAUCUCGCUUAGCUGCUCGAUCUGCACCACGAGGACAAGAAAGAAACACGGAAUUGAUUAUCUCCUCUUCAGCGACGUCGAAUUCCGACGAGCAUUAUUUGGGCCAAGAUCGAUGAACACGGCAGGAUGCUUCACCUCAAGUUCGCACUGCUCGUUCGAUCAGUGCGCCAAUGGAACAGUUGCUCACUGCUCAACGUGAGCUCUGCAGCUUGCAAGUUCGAGUGAUGCAGGGGUGAUGCUAACUGCGAUCGAUGGCAUGUAUUUAUACCCACGAGCUCUGGAAAAGGUCUACGAUAUACGUACAAGAUUUUUUGUGUCCAAUUUGUCACAAAGAAAUUCCCGGAUUACUUUUCAUGCGUUGGACUAGUUUUGCUUCUUCUAUAAAUGUUUGCUGCAGUAGAGAUGCACACACAAACGCAUUCUAUCUGUGCUUCCUCCCAAAUCUUAUCGUUCUACUAUAGAUAUCCUAAUCGCGGUUCCAUUUGACUGAGCACCACUUGUCUAGGAACUUUAUAUUCUUAUUGUGUAUCACUAUAUAUUACGUAAUCAGUGGCGGCACUUUUCUUGCCGUCAUAUCAUUGAUGUGGAAUUCACUUCGGCAAUGCUCUACUCAUGAUUUUGUUGAAUCCGAAGCUGAUGAUAUGUACCGAGGAAAAAUGCUCACUAAUAGUACGGCAAAGUCAAAACCCCAAUAUGGUUAGUUCUUGUUUUUCUUAAUAAGUGCUCUAAUAAGGAAGCGGAAUCAUUAAACCACAAGUGUUUCAUGGCAGUGCAAAAAAAAUUAACGUGGUCAACUUCAGUUUAUAGUAAGCUCGUAAAUUAACCUGAAAGUAACUUUUGGUUGUACAUUAACCUGCUAUUUUUUAAAACUUUUUUUAACGAAUUGACGAUAUUUUUUUCAUAGCUUGAUUUUUACAAACUUUGAACCGGGAAAAAAGCAUGAGGAAAUUCAGCAAAAAACAUUGCGAUGGAGAAUCUGGAGACAUGCUAGAUUUCGCACUACAAAACUUGGCAUGUUUUCCUGUUAAGCCGGCUCUAGGCCUCUACUUAUAUUAAGUGAUCAAUAUUCAUAGAGUAACAGAAUAUAUAUACUCCCUCCGUUUCAAAAUAUUUGACACCGUUGACUUUUAGUACGUGUUUGACCAUUCGUCUUAUUUAAAAAAAUUAAGAAAUUAUUUAUUCUUUUCAUAUCAUUUGAUUCAUUGUUAAAUAUAUUUUCAUGUACACAUAUAGUUUUACAUAUUUCACAAUUUUAUUUGAAUAAGAUGAACAGUCAAACAUGUGCU
rnacentral:lncRNA from 1 species